rnacentral:rRNA from 1 species
UACAGAGGUCUCAAGCGUUGUUCGGAUUCAUUGGGCGUAAAGGGUGCGUAGGCGGCGCGGUAAGUCGGGUGUGAAAUCUUGGAGCUUAACUCCGAAACUGCAUUCGAUACUGCCGUGCUUGAGGACUGGAGAGGAGACUGGAAUUUACGGUGUAGCGGUGAAAUGCGUAGAUAUCGUAAGGAAGACCAGUGGCGAAGGCGGGUCUCUGGACAGUUCCUGACGCUGAGACACGAAAGCGUGGGUAGCAAACAGG